GACGAACGCUGGCGGCGUGCCUAAUACAUGCAAGUAGAACGCACAGUUUAUACCGUAGCUUGCUACACCAUAAACUGUGAGUUGCGAACGGGUGAGUAACGCGUAGGUAACCUGCCUGGUAGCGGGGGAUAACUAUUGGAAACGAUAGCUAAUACCGCAUAAUAUUAAUUAUUGCAUGAUAAUUGAUUGAAAGAUGCAAUUGCAUCACUACCAGAUGGACCUGCGUUGUAUUAGCUAGUAGGUGAGGUAACGGCUCACCUAGGCGACGAUACAUAGCCGACCUGAGAGGGUGAUCGGCCACACUGGGACUGAGACACGGCCCAGACUCCUACGGGAGGCAGCAGUAGGGAAUCUUCGGCAAUGGACGAGAGUCUGACCGAGCAACGCCGCGUGAGUGAAGAAGGUUUUCGGAUCGUAAAGCUCUGUUGUAAGAGAAGAACGGGUGUGAGAGUGGAAAGUUCACACUGUGACGGUAUCUUACCAGAAAGGGACGGCUAACUACGUG
rnacentral:rRNA from 1 species